GUGAAUUGCAGAACUCCGUGAACCAAUGGCCUCCUGAACGUGCGUCGCACUCUUAGCUUUCCUGAGAGUAUGUCUGCUUCAGUGCUUACC
rnacentral:rRNA from 1 species